rnacentral:tRNA from 1 species
GCUUGGGUACGCCAACUGGCAGAGCGACCGGCCUUAAAAGCCGGCGGUUGCGGGUUCGAAUCCCACCCCAAGCA